GAGCAAGUAACGUCUAAAUUAACUUUUUUUUGCUGAUGAACUGUAUAAAUGAGUGUCUAAUAGUGUUUUAAAUGUGUGUAUUCAUUAUUUUAGCAUUUUGGUGCAUUUUCUUAAAAAAUUAAAAAUUCUGCCUAAAUACCACAGUAUAGCUCCACCUUCAGCUUAAAACAUAGAAUUUGACUCAUUUUGAAUAAAUUUUAGCCAAUGGCUAAAGAGUAAGAUACUACGUAAUCCAGUAGAGUACUACGUAGCAGCUCUGUGUCAACGUUAUAAAAGCAUCGGGAGUCUCGGCCACGCCUUGUGGCGAGUUGGGAGUUGGAUUUGCAAGCGAGUGUAGGAGGCUAGCCGUAGUUCAGCAUUAGCAUAUAGCAUUAGCAUAUCCUAGUCUUUAGCAUAGCUUUUAGUGUUAUACAUACUUAUUUAGUGUUAGCUUGGCUGUUGGAUAUUGUAGUUUAGUUACUGUUUGGCUGUUAGUGUAAUUAGGAAAGUAGUUCGGGUUUAGUGCUCCAUAUCGUGUUAGCAUGGUGAGAUGGUGUAGUGUAGUAUGGUUGCGGAGCUCUGUCGGGUUGCACUCCUUUCCGCUGGACUUAGAAAUUAGGCGCCAGUGGUUGCGUGUCUGGAAAAGAUUCAGCUCCCGCCUGGUGCUGUAGUUUGCAACCAGCAUUUUACCCGCGAUUCUGCACGUCUCCGUUCCAAGAGGGAGGUUGUGCCCACCGUGGCUCUUCCGCGAUUUAGAUACAGACCACCGACUCUGCUCCCCCACCAUGACGGGCUACAGUCUGAGGUGAGUAAGCUAAAUAAAAGUUUUAACAUCUUCUAAAGACAAUUUCCUACCUAAAUGCAAAGUUUGAGAGACGUGGUUCACUCCAUUUAGCUAAUAUCAGUCUGCACUGCCUUCGGGCUGAUUUGUCAAGUUCACAAAAUGUGGAACGGGAUGUAAGGUUAGAAUCAGCGGCGAAUCGGAACAUAUCUCGAAGCCCUGGCCGACAAAACGGUCCACAUGACUGUCAGGCUCAGAGAAAAUUCGGGUUGUUUUUGUGUCAGUCGGUAAUUCAGCAACAGUGACUCUAAACUGACGCAGCACUAGUUGACAGACAGCAUUACAGCGUGAAAUCUAGCACAGCGUGACCCGGUUCCGUGAGGAAUUCUGUUCAGGAGGUCGCAUUUCAGGGUCUCCACAUCAUAUGUGACUGACUUUUACUUUAUAAUAACAUCACACACUAGGAAUGUUAUAAAGCGCCUAUAUGGGACAUUUUUUUUUGUAUUUUAUCUGACUUUAUAAACAUCAAUGUGCUUCUAUUUUUUUUCAGGCUAAAUCUACCCAAGACACUGGCUGUCAGACUGAUUUAGUAAUCUGCAAGAAUGCACUUGUCCAGGCUGACGUGAAGCCUUACCCGUAGCAAAGGUGAAUUAUUUUUAAUAAUCUUCUAUGUAAACAUUUUAUUACCUUCUAGUUUUAAUUUGUUUUACAGAUUGUUACAAGUGAUUUUAUGCUCUUUUAAACAUUUAUAAAUGUGCUGCUUCUUUGUUUUUAUAGAGCUCACAGCCUCAGUGUCUUGUGACACAGGGACCAUGACAGAAAUUCAUCUUCCAGAAGGUCCCAGAGCAUCCACACCCCCUGAAAAGACCACGGUGUGAGGUGUCUGCUGUUGAUUCCAGCUUCCACCUCAGUGACAGUGCACGCUCAGUGAACUGUUCAAGGAGGCUACUGAUUCUGGCCCUGUGACACUUGGUGGUCACCACCAGGUGGUGACGUGUGAGCUGAUUCACCUGGACACUCAGCAAAAUAUGGACUCUACACCAUGAGGCAGGCACACGUUAAUAACUCUAUAAGAGUACAUAAGGUAAGCAACACCACAUAUUAUUUUUAUUACUGUACACUGUCCUGGAUUUGUUUUCUUUCUGCAUGAUUUGUUUUCUUUCUGCAUCUCAUCAUUAGCCUGGCUGAUCACCUGAUAACUCAUGUUAUCUGGUUAUGACAGCAUGAGGAUGUCCUCACACACCUGUAACCUACCAGCUCAUCUGGCAGAAUAGAGAGAGAAGAGACAACACCACAUCUCCUGUUCCUGGAAAGCCUUCAGCCAUCCUUCGAUGACUGAGAACCUCCAUCAGCUCUGUCUCCUGUCUGCCUACAAUUAUUAUAAU